AAGGCUCUCGGCAACGGAUAUCUCGGCUCUUGCAUCGAUGAAGAACGUAGCGAAAUGCGAUACUUGGUGUGAAUUGCAGAAUCCCGUGAACCAUCGAGUCUUUGAACGCAAGUUGCGCCCGAAGCCAUUAGGCUGAGGGCACGCCUGCCUGGGUGUUGCACAU
rnacentral:rRNA from 1 species